rnacentral:rRNA from 1 species
CAGCGGAGCGUGUGGUUUAAUUCGAGGCAACACGAAGAACCUUACUUGGGCUUGACAUGCACGUAGUAGUGAAGCGAAAGCGGAUCGAUCCUUCGGGAAGCGUGCACAGGUGCUGCAUGGCUGUCGUCAGCUCGUGCCGUGAGGUGUUCGGUUAAGUCCGGUAACGAGCGCAACCCUCGCUGUUAGUUACAUGUGUCUAACGGGACUGCCGGUUUAAUGCCGGAGGAAGGUGGGGAUGACGUCAAGUCAGCAUGGCCUCUAUGCCCAGGGCUACACACACGCUACAAUGGUCGGUACAAUGGGUUGCCAAGCCGCGAGGCGGAGCCAAUCCCACAAAGCCGACCUCAGUUCGGAUUGCAGGCUGCAACUCGCCUGCAUGAAGUUGGAGUUGCUAGUAACCGCGCGUCAGCUAUAGUGCGGUGAAUACGUUCCCGGGUCCU